rnacentral:lncRNA from 1 species
ACCCCGUGAACUAGACACCAAGCCAAGCACCUGUCCAAAAGGGUUGCUGUCAUACCAGCACCUAGGUAACACCAACUAGAUCCUUUUCAGACACAGAAGCUUGUCCUGAACCUGGGCAAGGCUGGAAGUACUAUGGAGGAUCCAGCCUGGGCCACCACUUCCAUGUAGAGAAGUGGGGCAGCAGCCCCUCCUGGGAGUUUGUGCACAGUUCUAAGUGUGUAGACCACAUGCCCUCUGAGGCAGGCACUGAGAAAACUCUAGGGUGUGUGCCAGUAUCUCCCAAGUGUCGCCUGGGAUGCUGUGGGUAAACAUUUCUCAGCUAGCUUCGUUUUCACAACUGUUGAAAAUCUGAAAACCUUCUCAUGUUGCCUGGUCACCACCUACUACCAUAAAGCGUGGGCCUUGCCUGGAAAGAAUGUUACCACUGUCUUGCUCACAGAACAGCCCUCUUAAUCUGAGCCUGUCUAUGCUGGCAUUCUUUGCCAGUAUUGGGACACUUCUUUGAUGCUAAACUGACAGUGCUUUGUUCUAUAAUACAGAUGGCCUGGGAUAUUUUGGCAUUUCUUGCAUAAUGCUUCUGAGGGACUUGGCUGUACCUCUCUUUGACUAAGAUGACUAAGAUGGCCCUUGGUCUAGUGGGGAACAGUGGGCAUCUGCCCUCACAGAUGACACCUCACAGCAACACCUCAGAUUCCCGUGUUCCAAAGGCAGCAACAAUUUUGCCAUUUCUGUUAACUUUCACAAAGGCACCCCCAAAUACCCACAACAGAGGUUACCCCGGUUUUGUCUACAGUGACUGCCUGUGGGCCAGGCCAUCUAAACUGAGAGGGGGAAAGAUUCUAUGUUCAAACCUUUAAGAGUGAUUCUUUUAAACUGAGGUAGAGUGUAGAUAAAAAGCCAGCCAUUGUGCUGUGGCAGGGGUGCUGGAUGGGAACAGAGAUUUUAUUUAGACUUAGCUCGAUUGUGUGAUAAGAGCUUUAGGUGACCCGGGAGCAGGGCAUCACUUGCCUGCAGAACCCA